UUUUUUUUUUUUUUUUUUUUGAGAGACUCAUAGGCCAGGCCGGCUUUGAACUCCAUGUAUAGUAGAGGAUGACUUCGAGUUUUGUGUGUAGUAGUAACAUAGGGGCAAAAGCUUGAGCCUCAAGUGUAUAACAUAAGAAUUCAUCCACGGAGCUACAUCCUUAGCUUUUACUUUGAAUUUGAUUGUUCUGCUUCCAUCUCUUGGGUGAGGAUUGGAGGCAUCAUGUCUGCAGUAAAUUAUGUCGUGCUGGGAAUCAAACCAGAGCCUCAUGCCUGUAGGGCAAACACUACCGAGAAGCUACAUCCAUGGCUCUGUGUUUGUGUUUAAAAUGUUUGCUAUGCGCCGGGCAUGGUGGCGCGCGCCUUUGAUCCCAGCACUCGGGAGGCAGAGGCAGGAGGAUUUCUGAGUUCAAGGCCAGCCUGGUCUACAAAGUGAGUUCCAGGACAGCCAGAGGUAUACAGAGAAAGCCUGUCUCAAAAAAACAAAAAACAAAAAAAAAAAAACAAAAGAAACUGUUUGCUGUGUUUGGGUACACAGGUGCCACUGUCUGUAUGUGGAGGUCAGAGGAGAACUUGAUGGAGUCACUUCUACCUUUAUGUUGAUCCCAGGAUUCAAACUCAGGUCAUGAAGAUUGUAUGACAGGUGCUUUUGUUUCACUGUGAGUAAUGGGAAGCAUUAACUGAUUCAGUGUCCGUGCUUAUAUAAAGUAAGGGCUGCAAGGGCUGCUCCCUCGUAGACCGCCAUGUGCUUUUCCUUUCUGAUUCUGGGUUUUCCAGACAGGGUCACAUGUGCACUACUCUGUCUGGCCUUGAACUCCAGAUCUUCCCAAUUGAAGGUAUUAGGUUUUAUACAAAUGCACACUUGUUAUCCCGGGCUUUUUCUAGCCUGGAUGAGCAGGUUAAAUACCUGAAUACCUUUACCCCUGAAUCUGUUUGGAGAUGGAAUCCCUAGGCUAUCUUUGAAUUAAUAAUCCACCUACAGCAGCCCCUGUGCCACUAUGCCUGAGACUGUCUGCUCCUUUUUUCUUUCUAUUCUUACAGUAAGUUCUUAGAAACCAUAGCCAAGCUGUCCUGCCUGGAUAGGCUGGACUUGAACAAACGGACUCCCUCCUCCUCCUGAUAUUGCCAUCGUGUACAGCUGCCAGCACUUACUCUCUUGGCCGUUUAUAGCAAAAGCGGGUUUUACUGCUCACAUAGCUUUAUCUCUCUGAUUCCGGGGUUUCUUUGAGAUGACCUUUUAUUUUUUUACUUUUAUGUAUUUAUUUAUUUUUGGUUUUUCGAGACAGGGUUUCUCUGUGUAGCUCUGGCUGUCCUGGAGAGAUGACCUUUUAUGCCAUUGUGUUCCCACAGCGUCUUUAUAAGAAUUCCUUACUUCUUGACACGGUUAAGAUGCUUCAGACCCACCUUCUAUUUCCCUGCCCAACCUGGAGCCACCAUUUCUCCAAGGAACCCUGGCUCCUUUAGUGGAGACUAACAACAUCUAGGAAGCAGCAUCCGAUCAGUGGGUGAGCUUGUCAAUUCUGGUCUUGUCCAGCCAGAGCUGGGACACCUGGAUACUAACUAAUGUGUGUACUACUGUGUCUAUUCUGUAGUGUCUAGCCAUAUCUAGACAUUUGAGCGACUGAGUUCCUACUGUUAUCUCUGACUCUCACACCCCAGGUUCCCUUGCUUCCUGUUGUUAUAAAUUCUCGGUGCAGAAGGUUGCCUCGGACCCACAUUACUCACUUAGAUGAUUCAGCAUGUAGUGUGGACCCGAGCUUUCAGAGCUGCUUUCUAGUUUCCGUAAGCAACAUCUGCUAACCAGACUACAGUGUGUCCUAAGUUUUGACUUUUAGUGUAUUAAGAUGUAGUAAAAAUAUUCAUUUCCAGAGUUGUCAGGGACUGAGUGUAGUGUCACACACUUUAAUCCCAACACUCAAGAGGCAGAGGCAGGAGGAUCUCUGAGUUUGAUGACAGCUUGGUAACAUAGCAAGUACCAGGACUACGUAGACUCUGUCUUUAAAAAAAAAGUUAGCCCAGCGUGGUGGCGCGCGCGCGCUUUAAUCCCAGCACUCGGGAGGCAGAGGCAGGCGGAUUUCUGAGUUCGAGGACAGCCUGGUCUACAAAGUGAGUUCCAGGACAGCCAGGGCUACACAGAGAAACCCUGUCUCAAAAAAAAAAUAAUAAUAAAAAAAUUAAAAAUAAAAAAAUAAAAAUAAAAAAGUUGUGGGGAAUAAAAGGCUAGAGCUCCAGUCAUUGGUAGGGCAUGUACAGUCUUGGGUUUCAUCUCUAGCACCUUAUAAGCUAGGCUUUGUGCCUGUACAGGCAGUAAGAUCAAAAGUUCAGGGUCAUCUUUACUACUUAGGGAAUUCGAUAGGAGCCUAGGAUACAUGAGACUGAUAUUGAGCCAUUCAAACUGGGUUUAGCAGCAAAGGAUUAUAAUCUCAGCAGUCAGGACACUUAGGGAAAAGGAUGUCUGAUGUAAGAUUAGCUUAGGCCAUAUGUUGAGAUCAAAAACUGAAGACCAUGUCCUAAAAAGCAAAACAAAAGGUUUUGCUUUUCGGCCUGUCUUUUUCUUUGAAUACAUUAGGUUAAUCUAUCAUAGUAGAUGAUAUACUAUUUCAGCCCUUUCUCGUCUUGACAGUUUACCACUGCACAAACACAGUUAUUUAAAACAAGUAAACAGGUCUGAAGACUCCUUCAGCAGUCAAACUCAGGCCUUAUAAAUGACUAAACUUCUCUGCUAAACAGUUUGUGCAUUUUGCAAUUGCUCAUAUCAAAUACCACUCUAUUCAAUGAGAAAUGGCAAACAAAAUUGGCAUAGGGGCUCAGUCCUUUAAUCCCACACUCAAGAGGCAGAGCAGAUCUCAGAGAGUUCAAGGCCAGCAAGGACUACAUAGUAAAACCCUGUCUCCCAAAGAGAAAAGAAACAAUGGUAGACAAAUAUGUAAUUCUAUAACUAGGGUUGUCCCAUAGGGUAACCAGUUAUGGCUAAUGAGCCUCAUGCUUGCUUUGCUCUGCCCUGCCCAGUGAUGAACUGCCCUGCUCUCCCUUGCUGGAGCUGGUCCAUCUGCUUAAUUGGUGAAUCGUAGGCAAUUUUUCUGUGCCAUAGUUUACUCAACAAUGUUAGCUGUUCACAAAUUAUGUGAGGUCAUAUCAUUUUUAUAAAUUUGUAAUUUAUAUGAUUUAUUUACAUUUACUGUUAUUGAAUCUCUGGUGCCAACUAGCCAGCCAUUUGUUGGAAAAUAGCAAAUAAUAUAUCAUUAAAGAGUUUUUAAAAUUUC
rnacentral:lncRNA from 1 species